rnacentral:rRNA from 1 species
CUACGGGAGGCAGCAGUGGGGAAUAUUGUACAAUGGGCGCAAGCCUGAUGCAGCCAUGCCGCGUGUAUGAAGAAGGCCUUCGGGUUGUAAAGUACUUUCAGCGGGGAGGAAGGGAGUAAAGUUAAUACCUUUGCUCAUUGACGUUACCCGCAGAAGAAGCACCGGCUAACUCCGUGCCAGCAGCCGCGGUAAUACGGAGGGUGCAAGCGUUAAUCGGAAUUACUGGGCGUAAAGCGCACGCAGGCGGUUUGUUAAGUCAGAUGUGAAAUCCCCGGGCUCAACCUGGGAACUGCAUCUGAUACUGGCAAGCUUGAGUCUCGUAGAGGGGGGUAGAAUUCCAGGUGUAGCGGUGAUAUGCGUAGAGAUCUGGAGGAAUACCGGUGGCGAAGGCGGCCCCCUGGACGAAGACUGACGCUCAGGUGCGAAAGCGUGGGGAGCAAACAGGAUUAGAUACCCGCGUAGUC